GCUCCCCGCGGCAGCGCUGUGCCCGGGUGGAGGCAGCCCGGGGCUGCCGCUCUCCUCCCAAUAGAGCGGGCUUGGGCGUUCGCCCCGUGCGGGCUGUGACGGGGGGCCGGGGCCCCUGCGCCCCAGCUCGCUGCUCUGUCGGCAAAGUAGCAAAGAUGUGGCUGUGAAAGUGCGGGAGGAGGGAAGAGACCAGUCCCGAGAAACGAAGGAGCUUUUUUCCAGGAAGCAGGUUCCAAACCAUUUACAGUGGCAGCAGAGGGGACAGAACCAGGCAAGGCAGAGUCACAGUGACUGCUGGUGUCUAAGUCUGAUGGCAGUGAGGAUCUGACACAAAGUACUACACAGCUGCACAAGCUACAGCAAGGUGGGAAUCAGCUGCCAAAGCAAUGUGUCUGGUGUCGUUCCAGCCAUAUAGCAUUAAAAGAUCCUGUUCUGGCACCAUCUUGCCUAUACAUGCUCAGCCAAGAAAGGCAAGUCGUAUGAAGCAUUUGAGCAGGACAAGGGAAGACCAAGUCAUCUGUGACUCAGAGUGGAGACACCACACUAUCACUGUGUGCUUGCUAAAGGGAGCAGUCCCACCUGCAACUGAGUGCCUUUGCCUCAUAAAAUCCAGUUAACUGCAUCUCCCCUCAGAGCUGCCCUUCACCCAUCUGCACCAUGGUAUGUAUUGUCAUGAAGCAGCAAGAAAUCCUCCCCAAGACCAGACAGCUGGAAGGAGACAUGUGAAGUGAUCCAUCUGUCUUUUCUUACAUGACAGUUACUCCCUGAUUAUGUGGACAAUAUUGGCUAGAUAUGGUUUGUCUUUAAGAAGAGCACAGGAUGAAAAGGUUAGAUGUAGAGGUCUCCACUUUGAUUAAUCCUCCCAGUAGAUGUGGUAAGAGAACUUUGCAUGACAGAAGGCGAUAAAAGGGCUAUUGCACCUUUUCCUACUUAGCUGGUAGGACGUACCUCUUUGACACACAACACGGGUGUACCUUCAGCCCUCUUUGCCCAUCUCUCCAGUACUGCCUCCAUUUAAAUCAAGACUUUAGCUUGCUCUGGGUAAGACAUGGAUUUACAAAGUGUGAUAUGGAAAUUUUCCUGCAGCAAGUCCACCUAUUGCUCCAAUUUCAGAUAACUGCAGUGUAGAUUUUAUUAUUCAUAGCCAGAGGCUUGUGUAAAUUUCUGGUUUGACUUCUCAUGUCCUCACAAGGACAGAAUGCUGGCCAUGGUGUUCAGGUUUCAUAAGGAACUGCUGUGGGAACUGGCUUGUGCCAUCCAAACACAACUCAAGGAUUUUGUGAAGUCAAAGGGGAAUCUUGUGAGAAGGAGCUGAUAUAGCUGGGUUUCCUGCCGAGCCCCAUGAGAUCCCGGGGAAGAUAGAACAUCUCAGUGCUGCUUGCUGAGGGAAAGCAAACAGAGCUUUACCACCGAGUUCACUCAGUGUUUGACCCAGCCUUCCUACUGCUUCAGGGUUCUCUAGGACUAAUCAGACUUGAUAACAAAAUAAUUCAGAACAAGAAAGUGAAUGCAUCUGGGGUUUCCAUGGAUUUACAUUAGGAUCUGAGUUCAUUACAAUAUUAAUUUUGACUAGGUCCAGUCCUUUCUAAAGGCAUUUCAACACUACUUUCACGCUAUGUGAAAAUGUUAUUUUUUGUACACCAUAAUAAACAUAUUUGCAUGUAUGUAACUGUAUAUAUCUCCAGAUACAUAUCUCCACAUAUGCUGGAGCAUUGCAAUUUUAUUUAUAAUACAAUCCAGAACCAUUUGAAAAUUACUUUCAUCCCCAGAUUUUAAUGACUCACAUAAACUCUAACUACUCAUUGUUUUCUAUAAAGAUUAUCUCUGAACUGACUCAAAAAUUCAUGGUUUUACAUUUGUAUAUGUAUCAUUGUGACAGAGUUUUUUAGUGGGAAAAUCUAUAUGCCUCACUUAAAUAUGAUUUGCAAAGGUAUAAUUUUCACAUGACAAUGAAAAAAGGUUUCCUUGAUCUAAUCACAGUUUUAAAGCUUGGUAUGUUGUCCUCUUCUAUGGUAAAGGAAUUACAGGACAGUGGAAAGGAGAUGCUUUCUGUUUUCUAUCUAUGCAGAGCUCACUCACCUUUUAUUAAUAUAACUCACAAAUAUAGGUGAUUUUUUUUAUUUAAUAAAGCUCCAUGUAAUUUUCACAAGUUUUCUUAAACCUUUCCCUUUGGAAUACACACAGUUUGAAUCAUUUUACUAUAAAAGUGCAAAAGCUAGUGUAAUUUUUACCCCAGUGUUAAUGUUAUUUGCAGGCUAACUUUGAUCCAUGCAUCAAUUUUCCUUUUACACAACUGUAAAAGACAAAGGAUGUUUUGUACUGUAAGUUCUUAAUACUUUCUUUGAUUGAAUUUGGCUCUGUCCUGGAAUUAAUCUAAAACUCCUGAGUCAAUCAGAUUUAAGAAGGUAUGAGUUUUUUACUAAAUUCACUAAGCUCCAACUGUUUUUGAAGUUUGAUCUAAGAAUCCAAUGUAUCAACACACGGGGAAGUUCAUUACAGUCCUUGAAAAUGGCUUAACGCUUCACUAAAAUCAUUCAAGAUUGGAUCAGGGAAGGAAAACAGCAUUUUAAUGAAAUUUUACUUCAGAAUCCUCAGCUUCAACUUCUGGCAGAAAAUCUUUAGAUUCAAACUGUAGGUGCAUACAAAUUAGAGUUAAAGUCUACCUUGUUAAUUAAAAAAAUACUUUGAUUUUCUUAUCUUGCAUAACACAAAAAUCAAAUGCUAAAUGUUAUUUCAAAAUAUAAAGAGUUAUAUACUGUUGUGACAGUGCAGUAUUUUCUUUUCUCUUGA